rnacentral:rRNA from 1 species
GAUGAACGCUAGCUACAGGCUUAACACAUGCAAGUCGCGGGGCAGCAUGGGGGUUGCUUGCAAUCCCCGAUGGCGACCGGCGCACGGGUGAGUAACGCGUAUCCAACCUGCCCUUCACCACGGGAUAACCCGGCGAAAGUCGGACUAAUACCGUAUGUUGUCCACUGACGGCAUCCGAUUUGGACGAAAGGCUUGGCGGUGAGGGAUGGGGAUGCGUCCGAUUAGCCAGACGGCGGGGUAACGGCCCACCGUGGCUACGAUCGGUAGGGGUUCUGAGAGGAAGGUCCCCCACACUUGAACUGAGACACGGUCCAGACUCCUACGGGAGGCAGCAGUGAGGAAUAUUGGGCAAUGGGCGUAAGCCUGAACCAGCCAAGUAGCGUGCAGGAUGACGGCCCUAUGGGUUGUAAACUGCUUUUAUGCGGGGAUAAAGUGGCCCACGUGUGGGCUUUUGCAGGUACCGCAUGAAUAAGGACCGGCUAAUUCCGUG